GUUCCAAGGGGCCGGAACUUACACAAGGCAGUGCUGUUUCAGGAGGCUGCUUCACUCCUCAGGGCUGCAAAGCCAUCACGCUUUUGUUGACUGUGUGGCUCACACCUGGGUCCGGAGCCGGCACCUUGCCCAGAGAUGCCAGGUGCUGUCUCUUAAUCAGAAAUAAUGAGCAAGGCAGCUGUGGCUUCUCAUCAGCCAAUCCCUCCAGCGUGUCAGAUGGGGGCCAAUUAGCAGAGGCACCAAGCAACAGAAUUCUGCCUUCGCAAGCAAAACAUCCAAAAGUGCUGAGCCCCUUCGCAGUGACACUGGACCCCAGCGUCUUACCUUUCCCCAGCUUUACAUUGGUCUUUUCUUGGUCCUGGGUGAGCCGGGGCUGGUUCCAGGAUUGGAACCUCCCGAAGCAGCAAGCCCUGACACCUGGAGUGGAGUUCAAGGACUUUUUUUUUCAAUCUAAGUUUCUUUGGCCACCACCACUCCCCACGGCCAACAGCCACAUUCUUUCUUGGACCACGUCAUUCAUUCUCAGUUGCUUGGCCUCGAAGGCCUGUGGGCGGCACAGACUCCAGCCUUUGAGACAUUAAAAAAAAAGGCUCCCCUUCUGGGGAGACCAUUUAGGACACAGCCCCUGCCAGGAAUGUUUCAGCUCCUGCGCACCCCGAGGCUUCGUGCCUUUGCACAAGCUUCCUGAGGGACAUCCUGCUGCAGCCUCAGAACACAGCGCACUCACUCUUUCCUGGCUAAAACCGAAGAGGCCGUGCCCCGCCCCCCGCCACUUGCUGCUGCCCUAUUUUGCUCCCUUUCACGAUCAGAACUCUUUAUUUUUCCCAAAUAAAAAUAGUCUUU
rnacentral:lncRNA from 1 species